rnacentral:rRNA from 1 species
GGACCCGCACAAGCGGUGGAGCAUGUGGCUUAAUUCGAUGCAACGCGAAGAACCUUACCUGGGCUUGACAUGGUGGUCGUAGACUUGUGAAAGCUUGUCGUCACUUCGGGUGGACCAUCACAGGUGCUGCAUGGCUGUCGUCAGCUCGUGUCGUGAGAUGUUGGGUUAAGUCCCGUAACGAGCGCAACCCCUAUGAACUGUUGCCAGCGGGUAAUGCCGGGGACUCUGUUCAGACUGCCCAGAUUAACUGGGAGGAAGGAGGGGAUGACGUCAAGUCAGUAUGGCCCUUACGCCCAGGGCUGCACACGUGCUACAAUGUCCAGUACAAUGUGAACCGAUACCGCGAGGUGGAGGAAAUCCUUAAAACUGGGCUCAGUUCGGAUUGUAGGCUGCAACUCGCCUACAUGAAGUUGGAAUCGCUAGUAAUGCUGCAUCAGCUACGGCAGCGUGAAUACGUUCCCGGGUCUU